CAGGUGCCAGCAGCCGCGGUAAUUCCAGCUCCAAUAGCGUAUCUUAAUGUUGUUGCAGUUAAAAAGCUCGUAGUUGAAAUUCUGGGCCGGGCCGGCUUCCGUUUCGGUCGCCUCCGUCCGAGUCCAUCCGCCUGGGGACUUGCUUGUAGUUUACUCUACGGCAUGCACAACCAGGCACUUUACUUUGAAGAAAUUAGAGUGUUUCAGGCAGGCUUUCGCUUGUAUACACCAGCAUGGAAUAAUAGAAAAGGACUGCUUCAAUUUUAUUGGUAUAUUUGGAGUAGUAAUGAUUAACAGGAACAGUUGGGGGCAUUCGUAUUUAGUAGUUAGAGGUGAAAUUCUUGGAUUUACUAAGGACGAACUAAUGCGAAAGCAUUUGCCAAGGAUGUUUUCAUUAAUCAAGAACGAAAGUUGGGGGCUCGAAGACGAUCAGAUACCGUCCUAGUCUUAACCAUAAACUAUGCCGACUAGGGAUCGGCGGAUGUUAAUUUUUCGACUCCGCCGGCACCUUGUGUGAAAACAAAGUUUUUGGGUUCUGGGGGAAGUAUGGUCGCAAGGCUGAAACU
rnacentral:rRNA from 1 species